rnacentral:rRNA from 1 species
GACGAACGCUGGCGGCGUGCUUAACACAUGCAAGUCGAACGGAAAGGCCCUGCGUUUGUGGGGUGCUCGUUUGGCGAACGGGGGAGUAACACGUGUGUAACCUGCCCUUGUCUUUCGGAGAACAUCAGGAAACUGGGGCUAAUAUCGGAUAGAAGCUCCUGCUCCACGGGGGGCGUUGGAAAGUUUCGGCGGUUGGGGAUGGACUCGCGGCUUAUCAGCUUGUUGGUGGGGUAGGGGAUGACCAAGGCUGUGACGGGUAGCCGGCCUGAGAGGGUGACCGGCGUCAUUAGGACUGAGGUAGGGCGCAGUCGGCUAUGGGCGGCAGUAGUGGAGAAUAUGACACAGUGGGCGGAAGUGUGAGGCGGAGGCGCCGCGUUCGUGAUGACGGCUUUCGGGGUAUAAACAGCUGUCGACUGUGACGAAGCGUGAGUGACGGUAAUGAAUAAAGAAGCACCGGCUAACUACGUG